rnacentral:rRNA from 1 species
AUUGAACGCUGGCGGCAGGCCUAACACAUGCAAGUCGAGCGGAAACGAGUUAUCUGAACCUUCGGGGUACGGAUAACGGCGUCGAGCGGCGGACGGGUGAGUAAUGCCUAGGAAAUUAGCCCUGAUGUGGGGAGUAACCAUUGGAAACGAUGGCUAAUACCGCAUAAUACCUACGGGUCAAAGAAGGGGGACCGUUCGGGCCUCUCGCGUCAGGAUAUGCCUAGGUGGGAUUAGCUAGUUGGUGAGGUAAUGGCUCACCAAGGCGACGAUCCCUAGCUGGUCUGAGAGGAUGAUCAGCCACACUGGAACUGAGACACGGUCCAGACUCCUACGGGAGGCAGCAGUGGGGAAUAUUGCACAAUGGGCGCAAGCCUGAUGCAGCCAUGCCGCGUGUGUGAAGAAGGCCUUCGGGUUGUAAAAGCACUUUCAGUCGUGAGGAAGGUAGUGUA